rnacentral:misc_RNA from 1 species
UCUCCGUAGGUGAACCAGCGGAAGGAUCAUUACUGAGUAUUGAAUGAAAUUGUUCUUGUUUUUCGGGGCAAGCUAAUGCUUCUCUCAAUCCAUCUUCCACCCGUGCACCCAUCGGGGAUGACAUGGAUCUAUGUAGGGUCACGACGCCUCUGCACGGUCUCCUCUAUCUACCAAAUCUCUGUAUUACAAAGUCCUUUUUGCUUGCUGCAAACUAAAAUAAAUACAACUUUCAGCAACGGAGCUCUUGGCCCACGCAUCGUAGAAGAACGCAUCAGAUCG